GAGUUUGAUCAUGGCUCAGAUUGAACGCUGGCGGAAUGCUUUACACAUGCAAGUCGAGCGGCAGCGCGGGGCAACCUGGCGGCGAGCGGCGAACGGGUGAGUAAUGCAUCGGAACAUGUCCAUGUCGUGGGGGAUAGCCCGGCGAAAGCCGGAUUAAUACCGCAUAUGCCCGAGAGGGGAAAGUGGGGGACCGCAAGGCCUCACGCGAUUGGGUUGGCCGAUGUCCGAUUAGCUAGUUGGCGGGGUAAGAGCCCACCAAGGCGAUGAUCGGUAGCUGGUCUGAGAGGAUGAUCAGCACACUGGGACUGAGACACGGCCCAGACUCCUACGGGAGGCAGCAGUGGGGAAUUUUGGACAAUGGGGGAAACCCUGAUCCAGCCAUUCCGCGUGAGUGAAGAAAGGCCU
rnacentral:rRNA from 1 species